CCUACGGGAGGCAGCAGUGGGGGAUAUUGCACAAUGGGGGAAACCCUGAUGCAGCGACGCCGCGUGAGUGAAGAAGGAUUUCGGAGUGUAAAGCUCUAUCAGCAGGGAAGAAAAUGACAGUACCUGACCAUGAAGCCCCGGCUAACUCCGUGCCAGCAGCCGCGGUAAUACGUAGGGGGCAAGCGUUAUCCGGAGUUAAGGGGUGUAAAGGGAGCGUAGACGGUUAUGUAAGUAUGAAGUGAAAGCCCGGGGCCCAACCCCGGAACUGCUUUGGAAACUGUGUAACUGGAGUGCAGGAGAGGCAGGCGGAAUUCCUGGUGUAGCGGUGAAAUGCGUAGAUAUCAGGAGGAACACCAGUGGCGAAGGCGGCUUACUGGACUGAAACUGACGUUGAGGCUCGAAAGCGUGGGGAGCAAACAGGAUUAGAUACCCUUGUAGUC
rnacentral:rRNA from 1 species